rnacentral:rRNA from 1 species
GACGAACGCUGGCGGCGUGCUUAACACAUGCAAGUCGAACGGUGAAGCUCCAGCUUGCUGGAGUGGAUCAGUGGCGAACGGGUGAGUAACACGUGAGCAACCUGCCCCUGACUCUGGAAUAAGCGCUGGAAACGGCGUCUAAUACUGGAUACGAGAAGGGUCCGCAUGGGCACUUUCUGGAAAGUUUUUCGGUUGGGGAUGGGCUCGCGGCCUAUCAGCUUGUUGGUGAGGUAAUGGCUCACCAAGGCGACGACGGGUAGCCGGCCUGAGAGGGCGACCGGCCACACUGGGACUGAGACACGGCCCAGACUCCUACGGGAGGCAGCAGUGGGGAAUAUUGCACAAUGGGCGAAAGCCUGAUGCAGCGACGCCGCGUGAGGGAUGACGGCCUUCGGGUUGUAAACCUCUUUCAGCAGGGAAGAAGCGAAAGUGACAGUACCUGCAGAAGAAGCACCGGCUAACUACGU